rnacentral:rRNA from 1 species
AUGGCGUGUGCGGCGACCGCUCCUUCUGCCGGCGGCGUGGCGAUGGAAGCUGACGGCGGGCUAGAAUUCCUACUAGAUCCAGUAGACCGGUUUCCACUAAGAGAGGAGUCAGCAGAUAAUUUGGAACAUCCAGAUCCGGUGCCGUUGGCGCUACUGCCACGCUGCGAGAUCCGGGGAAGGAAGAAUGCUUCGCCAACUAGGUCUCCACAAUCCACGGGGGAGGUGAAUCACGAAGCACCUGGCUGGACCAAGGUUGAGGCUGGGGAGUACACCGCCCUGGAACAAUCCAUCCAGAAAUAUGCAGAAGAACCUAGUAAGAGUGUGGUGAAACCUGAACUUGGUCUGAGUUUUGACUUGUCGGGUGAGGCGUAUGACUUUUACAAUUUGUAUUCGUGGGUGGUUGGCUUUGGGAUACGCUAUGGUAAGAGUAGAUUGAACGAUAAGAGCACGAAGAUAAUGCAGGAGAUCCUGUCCGGCUGUGCGGGGAAGCCGGAGGUGAAGAACAGCCGGUCAUGCAGGUGCAGUGACAAGACAAGUCUGUAUGACAUGCCAUUCGGUCUUUUUGUUCGGGUGAACCACCAUUUCCAGAGUGUUAUACUGGUGGGUGUUCGCAGAAUUUCUUAG